UACGAGGGGUGCUAGCGUUGUUCGGAAUCAUUGGGCGUAAAGAGUAUGUAGGCGGCCAUAUAAGUCAGUUGUGAAAUCCCCGGGCUUAACCUGGGAAUUGCAUUUGUGACUGCACGGCUAGAGUGUGUCAGAGGGGGGUAGAAUUCCACGUGUAGCAGUGAAAUGCGUAGAUAUGUGGAGGAAUACCGAUGGCGAAGGCAGCCCCCUGGGAUAACACUGACGCUCAUGCACGAAAGCGUGGGGAGCAAACAGG
rnacentral:rRNA from 1 species